rnacentral:lncRNA from 13 species
AUGGGGCCCGGUAACGUUCUGGUAACACCCGGAGUGCCCGCUUCCAGGCCUGAAGCGCUCUCCUCCCCCACCCGACCGGAACCGAAGAGUGGGCUCAAGGAAGUACUCAGGUCAGGUCUGUCAGGGUCCUAUGCUGCUCGUGGCACGCAGCCUCCUUCCAGGCGCCGCCCCUGCCACCGACUCCACCUUGUACCUGUGCGGCAGCAGCUGGACAGCGCCAACAUCGGCGCUCCCCAGCUGGGCAGACGAAAGCGCAUGCGCAAGCGGCCUGUCACAAGCGCCAGCGCUGAGCCCGGGCUCGCGUCACAGGAACAGCCACCGUUGCCUGGGGAACGAUCACAGUGGCUUCCCAAAGCGGCGGUCCUCUGUGGCAGUGCCUCAGCAUCAGGCAACGGACUCUUUCUCCGCGCGAUCCUCACUGAGUCCUGCGAUUUUAGGAAUCCGGCAGGCCGAACCAGGCAGAAGAAAGAUCUGUCGGGGCUUCACGGAUGUCCACGGCGCUCCCCAGGAAUCACCGAGAUGCUGCAGACCUGCCCAAACAGUGUGAGGGUGCCUCUAGUUGAAAGCCCUCUCGGCUGGGAUUUCCAGGUGCCUGUCUGUCUUCUGCUACACUUCAUCCUGCCAAUACUGUUUACAGAGAGAAACCUCCAGGCCAAUGCCAAGCUGCCUUUAGUCCUACCCAACUCCCCGAGCCUCCUGUCCUCACUGGUGCCAAAGAACUAGAGAAAACUGAGGUUGCGGAGGGCUGCUCUUCCAAAAUAACCACAACUGUCAGCACGCCAGGUGAGGUCUCGACAGUACCUGGGCUCAGCCGUAAAUUUGCUUCAAUGUCAGAGGGGGCACUGGGAGCUGGGUGAGGCCAGGCAAUGAGAGAAGGCACUUCACAAACUUUCUGGGAUUGAUUGUCCCAGUUUCUGGAAAACACUGGGACAUCUGAGUCUGCAGCUGUGGCUGGGCAGCCACAACUGUGCCUGAAUAGGUGAGGCACAGCCCUGGGUUUCUCUCCCUCACUGCACCUGGAAUUUUGACAGCAGCCCCUUUAAAUGGGUUACUGUUAACAUUGCUUACAGCACUUCUCUCAUUGCAGAAUGACUUCCGGUGAACCUAAAAAUCUCUACUCUCUGAUUAUGCCUUUGUCUUUAUAUUGACAAACCCUAUCCUGAAGCAGUCAGUCAACAUUAGCAUAUAAAAUACCAGCACUUAAGAGAUUCCAAAGAUUUUAGGAGUUCUAUAUCAGAAAACAAAGAGCCAACCACUUAUAAAUCAUUGUUUCAGCUUCUGCUUUUUCCAACCCAAUGUCUUCAGACAAAGCUUUUACUUCGGCCUCUCAAUUGCUCUAGUUCAGGUCCUAAACCAAACUGAGUUGUGCUUUCUUCAAGAGAGCUCACAGAGAGCUAAAAACAUAUCUCUCUUUCCAGUUCAUAAAAAUACCAGACUCAGCCCUAUAGCUGGAAAAUCUCGAGCCCCCACUUUACUGUGGAGAGCUUAUUUGUUUUGCUUAUUAAACUUCUGUUGUUAGCUGAACUUGGUGUUCAGGAAGCUUAAUUAUCUUGGCCCUGGGGCAUUACAUCAGCCCGUGAUUGCACCCAGGCUAAGCUCUCAUGCCAAGAUUCCACUUCAGGUGCUGUUUGGUCCAGGGCCCAGGUAAAGGGCCAACCAACAUAAGUCACAUCUAUUCUUUCAGCUUCUGAUGAAUUGCACAUUUAUUUUUUAUUUUUUUCAU